CAGCAAAUUACUCUGAAUGACAACAAUGAUUUUGGACAUGUUUAUGGAAUUCUGGGAAAUUCACGGUUGCCAGAUCUUAUCGACACCUAAGGCCACGUUCGGUUGGCACGAAAUCGACCGCCGGAAUCGAUCCGGCCAGGAACGUUACUCUAUUUUAUAUAGAAAACCAUCGGCAGGAAGCAUUCCGUCCGGAAUUUAGCCUAAACGAACAGACCCUAAUGGGUCACAGGACAGUCCACCUGGGUUUCAUAUGGAUUUGGAAGAGAUCCUGUCAAAACAAAACACAAGGUAUUUGCUUGGCUGAUCCUGAAAGACUGACUGAGCACCAGAGAGCUACUUAGAAGAAAACACAUGGAACUGCA
rnacentral:lncRNA from 1 species